UCCUCCAUGACCAGUGUUUGGACCUAUUUUGAUAUCCUUCUGGGGAAAGAAUCUUUAUUAAGAUGGGAGUGAAAAUAACUCCUGACUCGCUGAAGUAACCUUUUUGAGGAAGAGAACCUCAAUGCCAUGAGUUCAGACCUUCUUCUUUUUAGAUAUUAGCUGAUGAUAUCCAAAGGAUCUUGUUCUCUUGCUAUAGAAUGUGGAUGACUUUCAAAUAAACUCCUGGAAGUGCUAACAUUGUGUGGUGAAAGAACAAUGCUGGAAUAGAAGGGUGAAGAAGUUCGAUAUCCUGGCAGUUCUGCAGUCCACCAAGUCUGUUAUUUCUGUUCUGUCUUUAUAAUGGCUAUAAAAUAUGAUCUGGGAGUAUGA